CCUGUUCCCACUCUGCACUCUGCCGUCGAGGGUCCCAGGCAGCUAGUCUCGCUUACCAUGCCACGUACUGUGCCAGGUGCUGGGAGUUCCUGUUCUCCAGUACCUUACAGUCUCGUGGAAAAAGCAGAUAUAUUGCGAUAACUAAUACAGUAGUAACGGCCAGCUUUUAUUUCUUGAGCGUUUCCUGAAGUCCAGGAGUUCUGACAAGCACUGACCCCUGGGAACCAUCCUAAUGUGGUGGGUUCACAAUUAUCCACAUCGAGGAAACCAAAGCUUACAGAGACUGAUUUUUUUUUUUUUUUUUUUUUUUGCUUGAGGACACGCAGCAGGAUCAGGACUCGAACGCAGGUCCGGGCCACAGAGGCAAGGCCGCUGCUGCCCGGGUCCGGUUUCAGGCCUGGGGGUCACGGGAGAUCGCCGCGGCACACCCACCUCUCCCGGGCCAGGGGCUCCGAGGCAGAGGGACCGCUUAGGAAGGGGCCCUGCGGCCCCAGGAGUGGACUGGAAGGAGCGGCUUCUCCGGGAGACUAGCCUGCGCGGACACGGCUCGCGACCCGGGAUGAUCCCGGAACAGACUCGAGGGUCACUGUUUGGCGCGGGGAAGGCGGGCGCUCCCUCCCGCUCCGCCCUCGAACCGCAGCUCCGCGCAGGUGUUUUGUCCCCGCUGAGUUGCCGCACCUCCGCUCCCUGCUCGAGUGAGUAAACCCAGAAGGGCUUGGCGAGAGUGAGCUGACGCUCGGCGUUCACAGCCCCGAACCUUCCGCGGCUGAGUCAAGGCGCUGGGUGGUCAGUUCAACAUGCUUCUAGAACUUUCAGACCAAUUUCCCCGACUACCUUCUAGGUCUUCCUGACCCAGAUCUAGGCCCAUUUCGCUUUACUGCCUCUUCAGUGGUUGAAGCAAAGAGAGCGAAAGCGGGGUUUCCUGACCCGCCAGGGCGCCCAGACUGGGGCGAAGGGCCCCCCGGGUUCUGAGGCGCUGCGCAGGGCCUCAGUGUCCAGCUGGGGCUCCCAAGGCCGGAGACUCGGCAAGGUGGACAAGCUUCAGUGAGCGAGAGGGACGCGUUCUCUCUCCGCGGCUAAAAGCUUCAGAGCUCAGUGUUGGAUCAGGCGGGCCAGGAACGCAGAUGGACUGCCUUCUUCCGCUGCCCACAGAUUUCACAGCCGUUUCCAGACACAGGAAUGCUUUUGAUGCGGCAACAUCCUCCACAGCCCUGGAAGGAAUGUCAGCGCUUCCAGGUUACGCUUUAGGAGAUGAUCAACUCUGAUACAGGAAUGUCAGCCCUUCCAGGAGACGCUUUAGGAGAUGAUCAACUCUAGCAAGCCCUCCCCAAGUGCCGCACGCUGCAAACUCCACACUGUUCCUGUUUUCCAGAUAGGGAAAAACAAGACUACAGAAGAGAAGCUGGAUCCCAAAAUGACACUUAGAGACACCUCCAUGUUUCAGCAAUAGAGCUGUGGCUGGCUGUGCUAUGGAGUGCAUCUAGAGGGAUAUAUGCAACACUGACCUCGCUUGCUUCAGAGGAAAUAUUUGUUUCUAGAUGUCCACUCUUUACUCCUGCAGCAGACUGAAGUAUCAUUAUUAUCCCAGUUUUACCUACAAGAAAACCAACUCUACACUGCCAAGUUCUGUGGCGCUGCAGUGAUGGACGGGACCUCUUGCCUCUAUCUGAUGAACUCCUACUCAUCCUUCAAGACCUAACUCAGCUUUUGUUUUCUUCAAAUCCUUCUGAGUCUCCAUCAAAUUCAGCUUCCUGUCCUCUACAAAGUUGAUAAGCAUGCCUCCUGUGUCUUCAUUUCAACUCUUUGAUAACAAGUAAACCCAGUCAUCAGUUGACGUCACCCUGUCCUUUGAGAUUGAAAGAAAAUUAGCUCAAGCCCCCAUCACACAUCCUGUGGGAAGUCAGAUACCCUCCCAAAGAUCUUUGCAAACUCCCAGCACUUUGGUGGUCACUUGCGUUUCCACGUUCCUCUUCCUGCUGGCCUUGGGCUCACCCACAUCCCACCUCUGUGGCUGCUCUGUCCUCUCAGGUUCAUGCCGACCAGGUCCUUUCCCUGAUUUCUUUCAAGAAACAAAACAUUUAGGAGUGUGGCAGAUUUUGCGCAAGACUUGCAGAGAUGGUGUGUGUGUGUGUGUGUGUGUGUGUGUGUGUGUGUGUGUGUAGGGGGGUUUCUGUACAGAAUAGGUACUCAAACAGAUUUAAUAGAUCUCUUCUUUCUGUCCUUGAAAGUCCCUCAAUAACACCAACACUAGGACCUUCUUCCUGGUCUCUUUUCCCCAAGUGCUCCUCAAACUACCCAGAGAAUCAAGAUCCUAGGAUUUCAUUAACAGCCCUUGUUCUGGCCAGGGUUGGUGGAGGAGAUUGGGCCAUAGGGAGAAUUAAGGGCAGACCCUGGGCAAAUUUGUGAGGAGUCAAAGUUUGUUUAAGAUGUUCCCCAUACUUCCUUUUAAAUUAAAAUUUAAGAAUAUAUUUUAUUUAACCUAAAACAACCAAAAUAUUAUUUCACCAUGUAUUAUGGGCUGAAUUGUGUUCCCCCCAAAUUCGUGUUGAAACCCUAACCCCCCGUCCUCAGAAUGUGACUGUAUUUGGAGAUAGGGUCUUUACAGAGGUAAUCAAGCUAAAAUGAUCAUUAAGGUGGCUCUAAUCACCAAGGUGUGUCAUCAAGGACACCUGACUGGUGUCCUUAUAAGAAGAAGAGAUUUGGACACACAAGAGAGAUAUCAGGAAUGUUUAAGCACCAAGAAAAGACCAUGUGAAGAGGCAGCAAGUGGGCAGCCAUCUGCAAGCCAAAGAGGGAAGCCUCAGAGGAAACAAACUCUGCUGGCACCUUGAUCUCGGACUUCUAGCCUCCAGAACUAUAAGAAAAUAAACUUCUGUUGUUUAACCCACCCAGUCUAUGAUAUUUUUUUUGUGGCAGUGCUAGCAAACUAAUGCACCAUGUUACUAACAUAAAAAUUAUUAAGGAGUGUAGUGGCUUGUAAGGUGGUUCCCCAGAAUUUAUGUUCACAUCCUAAUCCCUGAAACCCGUGAAUAUGACCUUAUCUGGGAAAAGGGUCUUUGCAGAUGUAAUUAAAUUAAGGAUCUCGAAAUAAAAUCAUUGGGAUUAUCUGGGUGGGCCCUAAAUCCAAUGACAAGUGUCCUUAUAAGAGACAGAAGAGGAGGACAGAGACAGAGGAGAAAGCCAUGUGAGUACAGAGGCAGAGAUCUGGGAUACAGCCACAAGCCAAGGAAUGCUGAAGCCUUCUAAGGGAGCAUGGCUCUGCUAACAACUAGAUUUUGGAUUUCUGGCUCCAGAGCUGUGAGAGAAUAAAUUUCUGUUGUUUUAAACCACCAAAUCUGUGGUGAUUUGUUAUAGCAGUUCUAGGAAACGAAUAUAAGGAGGUGCUUUAUGUUCUUUUUUCAUACUUUGAAAUGUGGUACAUAUUUUAUAUUCCAACACAGCUCAAUUCAGAGUAGCCAAGUUCAUGCUAGUUGAUUUGGAAGGUGAUCCCAGAUAGCCAGAGUGAGGGAAGGGGUAGAGGCACAGGGAAGGGGGCCAAGAUGCAUUCUCAAGCUGGCCACUCCUACCCUCACCUUUCCCUUUGUAGCUUGUAUUUUAGUCUUGUGCCCAUGACCGUCAGCACCUUCCUGUUAGAAGCUGACUUCCAGGUCUCCCACUUAUGCUGAAGUCUGCUUCCAGGGCAGGGACUCUUUCUUCUACCUGGAAACUCCAAACUUCCUGUGCAGCCCCCCUCAGGGUGCUGGUGUCCAAAGCUGGGUGGAGUGACUAGUAUGCUGUGAAGUUUCUCUAGUGAUGUUCCCAUUAGCAAGGAAUCCACAUCCGCACUUCCCCAUAUCUUGCUUCCAUAGCGAAGUACCAAUUUCUGUUGGCUUAAACAACAGAAAUUUAUUGUCUCAAAUCUGAAAUCAAGGUGUUGGCAGUGUUGGUUUCUCCCAAGGGCUGUGAGAGAAGGCUUCUCUCCUUGCCUUGUAGAUGGUUGCCUUCUCCUUAUUUGUCUGUGUCCAAGUUUUUCCUUUUUAUAAGGACACCAUUUAUGUUAGGUUACGGCCACCUUGAUGACCUCACUUUAACUUUUACCUCUAUACAGACCCUAUCUCCAAAUAAGGUCACAUUCCGAGGUACUGGGGGUUAAGACGCCUAUGUGUCCUUUUUGGGGAGACACAGUUCAGUUCAUAACAUCUCCUUUGAUGUUUCACCUCAUUAUCGAACCCAGUGUCCCUGGAUUUUACCUAGCAUCUAUGGGUCAUUUUCUGUAAAUCUACAUUUAAUUUCCUAAUUUCUAAAUAUUAUAUAUAUGUUAUUGUUCUGAGAGUUUAAAAGUUUUAUUCAGGGUCUUACUGGAGAUGAUAGUCCAGGAAACAGCCUCUUAGUAACUCUGAGAGAAAUGUUCUAAAGAGGUGGGAGGAGAAGCCAGUUUCUAUGUUUUUUGGUGUUUUUUUUGGCUAGGGUAUAUGUGUAAUCAAGCAUACAUUGUGAUUAAAGAUUACUGCUAGUCACAAGGAAUGGACAUCUCAAGUUAAUGAUUUUAGUGCUUUUUCAUGUACGGGAAAAUGCAAGAGUCUGGGUUCAUUAAAAUUCUUCCUGAAAUAUACAUCUAAACCAUCUAAAGGGACUGCUUGUCCAAAGCACACAGCAUCCUGUUAAUGUCUUUUUGUUGUUGUUGUUUUGGCUUUUUUUUCCCCCUAUUUUUUUGUUUCCUUGUUUUUCCCCCAUAUAUAUUUUAAUACAAUUUUUAAA